AUUCUGCUUGCAUUGGCAGAAUGUAUACUCAAAUUGAAAUGAUACAGAGAAGAUUAGCAUAACCCUUCUGCAAGGAUGAAAUUCAAAUCUGUGAAGCCUGUCUGUCUGUC